UCUACAGGGUCGGGAGGGAACUUCCUGGAAGGAGGCCUGGUUGCCCCAGACAUAGCAGGUGAAGUUCCAGGAAGAGGAGCUGGAGAAGAGCUAGAGAUUCCACGGGGCCAGUUCUGCUUUAGAGCUGCCCAUGUGGCCUGGGUUGGGCCGAGGUUGGUUCUGCCCCAGCCCCCAACUGCCUACUUAUCAUUCAUAGACUUCUUCCUCCCAUCCCACCUUCUCCUCUGCCAGGAUAGCCCCUCCCUACAAUGCCACCUCCCCAAACAUGGACACGCUGGGUCCUACCGCCACACCUCUGCUCAAGGUGGGCACUCCUCCGAGAUCAGGACCACAUCCGUUUGCUCCUCCCUAUGUCCCCAGUGGAUGCCGGCAACCGUGACCUGGGUGACCAUACCAAUAGCAGCUGCCAUUUAAUGACAGCCACUCUGGCCGCUCCACUGGCUGCACACCACUGGGUUUCCUGUUCUCCAAGCAGCCUUCCACUUCUGCCCCGGCCAUGUGGAGUUCCACUGCCAAGCUACUAAAGCCCAGGAAGUCUGCUGUGGACUCAGGUUAGGGUGGACUCCUGCCCCUGCUGGGACUCUGGGAGCAGGGUCUGCGUCCUCUACCCUCUGCUGCUUCCAGUGUGGCUGCCCACAGGGCUGGGCACUCAGGGGACAGGGGUGACAGUAAGGAACCCAGAAAGGGCCCAAAGAGUUGACUUGAAUCUCAGGCAGGAUGCAGGGCUGUGUGUUUUAAGGAAGAGGUUUACCCAAGGCCUGGACAACGAAUCAGAGAGAACUCC
rnacentral:lncRNA from 1 species